GUCGUAAAGCUCUGUCCUUGGGGAAGAAAAAAAUGACGGUACCCUUGGAGGAAGCCCCGGCUAACUACGUGCCAGCAGCCGCGGUAAUACGUAGGGGGCAAGCGUUAUCCGGAAUUAUUGGGCGUAAAGAGUGCGUAGGUGGUUUGGUAAGCGCGGGGUGAAAGGCUAUGGCUCAACCAUAGUAAGCCUUGCGAACUGUAAGACUUGAGUGCAGGAGAGGAAAGUGGAAUUCCUAGUGUAGCGGUGAAAUGCGUAGAUAUUAGGAGGAACACCA
rnacentral:rRNA from 1 species